ACCUAGCCCCGAUAGUAGCGACAUCCUUUUUUGUUUUUUUAGAUUCCUCACUUCGUUCGGAAUGACAAAACGUCUAAAAAACAAAAAAGAUAUAGCGGAUAGCGGGAUUAAGC
rnacentral:sRNA from 1 species